rnacentral:lncRNA from 1 species
ACCGAGAAGCUGAUGAACCAGAUCAUGGAGCUGAAAUUUACGUCCAAGUCGCUUCAGCGCCAAUCCAGAAAGUGCGAGAAAGAGGAGAAAGCCGAGAAGCUGAAGAUCAAGAAGGCCAUGGAAAAAGGCAACGUUGACGGCGCUCGGAUCUACGCCGAGAACGCGAUCCGAAAGCGCACAGAGCAAAUGAACUAUCUCCGGCUCGCUUCCCGGCUCGACGCUGUGGUGGCUCGGCUCGACACCCAGGCCAAGAUGUUCACCAUCAAUAAGUCCAUGGGAAAUAUUGUCAAAUCACUCGAAUCGUCGCUGGCCACCGGAAACCUCCAGAAGAUGUCGGAGACCAUGGACUCGUU